rnacentral:rRNA from 1 species
GACGAACGCUGGCGGCGUGCUUAACACAUGCAAGUCGAACGGAAAGGCCCUGCUUUUGUGGGGUGCUCGAGUGGCGAACGGGUGAGUAACACGUGAGUAACCUGCCCUUGACUUUGGGAUAACUUCAGGAAACUGGGGCUAAUACCGGAUAGGAGCUCCUGCUGCAUGGUGGGGGUUGGAAAGUUUCGGCGGUUGGGGAUGGACUCGCGGCUUAUCAGCUUGUUGGUGGGGUAGUGGCUUACCAAGGCUUUGACGGGUAGCCGGCCUGAGAGGGUGACCGGGCACAUUGGGACUGAGAGACGGCCCAGACUGCUACGGGAGGCAGCAGUGGGGAAUAUUGCACAGUGGGCGGAAGCCUGAUGCAGAAACGCCGCGUGCGGGAUGACGGCCUUCGGGUUGUAAACCGCUUUCGCCUGUGACGAAGCGUGAGUGACGGUAAUGGGUAAAGAAGCACCGGCUAACUACGUG